GAGAAUAUUGUUUAADGGDAAAACAGUUGUCUUUUAAGCAACCCAUGCUUGGUUCAACUCCAGCUAUUCUCACCA
rnacentral:tRNA from 1 species